rnacentral:rRNA from 1 species
GAUGAACGCUGGCGGCGUGCCUAAUACAUGCAAGUCGAGCGAACGGACGAGAAGCUUGCUUCUCUGAUGUUAGCGGCGGACGGGUGAGUAACACGUGGAUAACCUACCUAUAAGACUGGGAUAACUACGGGAAACCGGAGCUAAUACCGGAUGAUAUUUUGAACCGCAUGGUUCAAAAGUGAGAGACGGUCUUGCUGUCACUUAUAGAUGGAUCCGCGCUGCAUUAGCUAGUUGGUAAGGUAACGGCUUACCAAGGCAACGAUGCAUAGCCGACCUGAGAGGGUGAUCGGCCACACUGGAACUGAGACACGGUCCAGACUCCUACGGGAGGCAGCAGUAGGGAAUCUUCCGCAAUGGGCGAAAGCCUGACGGAGCAACGCCGCGUGAGUGAUGAAGGUCUUCGGAUCGUAAAACUCUGUUAUUAGGGAAGAACAUAUGUGUAAGUAACUGUGCACAUCUUGACGGUACCUAAUCAGAAAGCCACGGCUAACUACGU